UACGUAGGGUGCAAGCGUUAUCCGGAUUUAUUGGGUUUAAAGGGUGCGUAGGCGUCCUAUUAAGUCAGGGGUGAAAGACGGUAGCUUAACUAUCGCAGUGCCUUUGAUACUGAUGGGCUUGAAUGUGCUUGAGGUAGGCGGAAUGUGACAAGUAGCGGUGAAAUGCAUAGAUAUGUCACAGAACACCAAUUGCGAAGGCAGCUUACUAAAGUAUGAUUGACGCUGAGGCACGAAAGCGUGGGGAUCAAACAGG
rnacentral:rRNA from 1 species